UUUCUUAAAGGGAGUAAUAGGAAGUCAAGGGAUAUCAGACAAGGGUUGAUCUGAAGUCAAGGUUGGCAGAAGUUUUAGAAGAAAUUUACAAGAAGAAGCGGAUGACAAAUGAGGGGUUGGCAAUGUGACAAACACAAUAUGGUUGGUUAUGUGAAAGAAAGGUUCUUAAGAGUUGAGGUUUAGGGGUUCAGAUUUGUUUUGAGAAUAAUGGCUAGACCAAUCUACACUAUUUAACACUAGAGCAUUUUAGAACAAAAGCAGGGUUUUUUAUGUUAGUAAAGUUGUUGGGGCGUAGUAUCUUUGUCAAAUAGGUGGUUGUGAUAGAGAAUGUGAGGAGAAUAGGUUGUUCCUUCUAUCUGAUAAGUGAAUUUUUGAGGUCAAAAAUUUUUGUUGUUGAGGAAAAUGUAAAAACCGAGAAAAAAAA
rnacentral:lncRNA from 1 species